UGGGGGGGUCACACGAUACACCACUCAGGGUCACCCCCAGGACGUCGUUCUCCUCGGUGGGUCCCGGGGAUCGAACUCAGGUUGUUGGACUUGGCAGCAAGCACCCUUACUCAUUGAGUGCUCUCGCCGGCCCUCCAAUCUUUUGACUCAGGGGCUCUGAGCCUUGAGCCAGGCUCCUGCCUUGGCCUCCAUAACUCUGGGGUUCCAUGUGGCUGCCAUACCAGAUUUUUACGUGGGUGUUGGGGAUCCAAACUCAGGCUCCCGGACCUCUGCUUCUGAGGGAGGGUGUCAUUGCCACCUCAGCUGGCCUCGUGGCAAUCCCGCCGGAGUGAAGGUCUGCACCACCGCACUGGCUAUAGUGGCUUGUAGGCUGGGCAUGGCGGAGGAAGUAAGAUCAGUUCUGGGUCAUCCUUGGCCACACAGUGAGUUUGGGGCCAGCCUGGGCUACAUGAAACCUUGUUUCAAAACUAAAUAGCAAAGGAGUUGUAAGUCACUGCCCUCCGUGGCAUCCACAGGUGUCUGUGCUGGGCCGGGCAUGUGGGGGCUGGUGACACAGUCAGUUCCAGCCCUGACUUGGGUGGCACUUGGACGGACCUCCCCUGAACCCUGGGAGGGAAGGGCAGCAGGAGGGGUGGCCCCUCCCACCCCUGCAGUGCUGAGUUAGGGAAGACUGCCCUCGGGGGGGCUGUGCCCGUCACAAUGGGGGGCUCCUGGCACAGAGUGGGUGCAGGCCAGGGGCUCAGCUCAGCACCUCUGAGAACGAAUCCGCCCUGGAUAUGGGCAACUGAGGCUGAGCUCAGAGGCCCGCGGGGGCUGCCGGCAUCCUCCUCCGGUCUCCAUGGAAACAGUCUGAGGACCAGCCUCAGCAUCUCCCAGCCUCCCUGCUGCUCGGAGGCUCUUACCAUGUAGCCCGAGCUAGCCCAGAUCUCCAGCUCCACCCGCCUCAGUCUCCCCAGUGCACCCGGCAGCGGGGGCCGAUCUCAUGGCUGUCGGUGACGGACACAUUAAGAAUGUCAAAGCCAGCGUGGGGAGACCUGUCCGUCUUUCUGAUGUACACGUCCAGCCUGCAGCCUCCCACACCUCCGGGACCCCUGGGCCUCAGUUUCCCCUCCGCCGGCU